rnacentral:lncRNA from 1 species
ACCAGAAAAUGGUAUGGACAUGUUUCUGUUUUAGAGUUGAGUAGUUGCCCCCCCCCCAAAAAAAAAGUUUAAGCAAUUUGCCAAAGAUAUUACAAACUGGUAAUUUGGAAGCCAGAGGCUUGAUUCUUCUGAGACCUAGUUCAGUCAGAAAGUACACUGAACCUAGCUGUCUAAUCCCAGGGAAUUUGCCCACUAUCAGACAAUAGAGACAGGGAAUCUGACUCAUCAGAAAAUGGUUACAGAUGUGGAAAGACUGAGAACAUGGUGGGAGUUAAGCCUCAGUGUCUCUCUGGAUUCCUAUACUUCUGUAAGCUCUGCUCACCAAGAGUACUUGUGAACCUCACCAUUCUUCUCCAAACAUCUAUCAUCCCAGCUGCCUUAUUACACCAGCCAUGAAACCCAUUCCUUGUAUGUUGCUUCUUUGCUUCCUUCUAAUUCAAGAUCUUUCAGGAAACUUGUUAUCUAGAAGCAAAAGACAGAACAAUUUCAUGACAACUGUUCCUACCCAGACUCCAGAAUCGGAUAGACUUCAAACAAUCCAUGUCAUCAAACUUAUCCAGAAAGAACAGCCCUGGAACAGACAGGACUGAUCCUAUCACCAU